rnacentral:rRNA from 1 species
GAGGAAGUAAAAGUCGUAACAAGGUUUCCGUAGGUGAACCUGCGGAAGGAUCAUUAUCGAGUCUUUGAAAGGAGUUGUAGCUGGCCUUUCGGGGCAUGUGCACGCUUCGCUCAAGUCCAACUCAUUUUUUAACACCUGUGCACUCAUUGUAGGAUUGUUGGAAGCAAGAGAGGAAAGCCUUUGACUAGGUUAUCUCUCGUGUGGACACUUUCCUAUGUUUCAUUCACACACUCAUUGUUGUAUCAUGAAUGUCCUUUGCGCCUAAAUAACGCAUUAUAUAUAACUUUUAGCAACGGAUCUCUUGGCUCUCGCAUCGAUGAAGAACGCAGCGAAAUGCGAUAAGUAAUGUGAAUUGCAGAAUUCAGUGAAUCAUCGAAUCUUUGAACGCAACUUGCGCCCUUUGGUAUUCCGAAGGGCAUGCCCGUUUGAGUGUCAUGGUAUUCUCAAAACCCUCUUUGUUUUGCGACAAAGUUGGUGUUUUGGAUUUGGAGGUCUUUUUUGCGGGUCUAGUAUCCGCUCCUCUUGAAUGUAUUAGCUGGAAAUCUUUGCCUGGGUCUAGCUUCAGUGUGAUAAUUGUCUACGCUGUGGCUAUCUGGGCGGCAUGAAUGAGAAUUCCGCUUCUAGCAGUCUUUACUCUAAGACAGAUCCAUAACAAUCUCUUGACAUCUGACCUCAAAUCGGGUAGGACUACCCGCUGAACUUAAGCAUAUC